rnacentral:rRNA from 1 species
GACGAACGCUGGCGGCGUGCUUAACACAUGCAAGUCGAGCGGUAAGGCCCUUUCGGGGGUACACGAGCGGCGAACGGGUGAGUAACACGUGGGUGACCUGCCCUCAGCUCUGGGAUAAGCCUGGGAAACUGGGUCUAAUACUGGAUAUGACUCCACGGUGCAUGUCGUGGGGUGGAAAGCCUUGUGCGGCUGAGGAUGGGCCCGCGGCCUAUCAGCUUGUUGGUGGGGUGAUGGCCUACCAAGGCGACGACGGGUAGCCGGCCUGAGAGGGCGACCGGCCACACUGGGACUGAGACACGGCCCAGACUCCUACGGGAGGCAGCAGUGGGGAAUCUUGCGCAAUGGGCGAAAGCCUGACGCGGCGACGCCGCGUGAGGGAUGACGGCCU